rnacentral:rRNA from 1 species
GCUGGCUGGUGGGGUAACGGCCCACCAGGGCGACGAUGGCUAGGGGGUCUGAGAGGACGAUCCCCCACACUGGUACUGAGACACGGACCAGACUCCUACGGGAGGCAGCAGUGAGGAAUAUUGGUCAAUGGGCGGAAGCCUGAACCAGCCAUGCCGCGUGCAGGAUGACGGCCCUACGGGUUGUAAACUGCUCUUCCCCGGGGCGAAUAACCCCCUCGCGAGGGGGGAUGCCGGUACCGGGGGAAUAAGGAUCGGCUAACUCCGUGCCAGCAGCCGCGGUAAUACGGAGGAUCCGAGCGUUAUCCGGAUUUACUGGGUUUAAAGGGUGCGUAGGCGGGUGGCUCAGUCGGCGGUGAAAUGCAGCGGCUCAACCGUUGCCCUGCCGUCGAAACUGGCCGCCUUGAAUUCGGUCGAGGCCGGCGGAAUGCGCGGUGUAGCGGUGAAAUGCUUAGAUAUCGCGCGGAACGCCGAUUGCGGAGGCAGCUGGCUGGACCGAGAUUGACGCUGAUGCACGACAGCGUGGGGAUCGAACAGGAUUAGAUACCCUGGUAGUCCACGCCGUAAACGAUGAUGGCUGGGUGUUGGCGAUACACUGUCAGCGCCUGA